rnacentral:ribozyme from 1 species
AAAAAAAAAAAAAAAAAACUCUGAGUGAGAAUCCACAGUGCACUCUUCUGGUCUCUUGUCUUUUGUCUUUUGUCUCUUGUCUUUUGUCUCUUGUCUCUCUUCUCUCU